AAUANGAGGCACUCGGCAGGCCUAACACAUGCAAGUCGAGGGGCAGCAUAAUUAUUCGCAAGAAUAAUGGUGGCGACCGGCGCACGGGUGCGUAACGCGUAUGCAACCUACCUUUUACUGGGGUAUAGCCCGGAGAAAUCCGGAUUAAUCCCCCAUAGUACUGACAAUUCGCAUGAUGAGUCAGUUAAAGUUUCGGCGGUAAAAGAUGGGCAUGCGUCCUAUUAGCUAGAUGGUAAGGUAACGGCUUACCAUGGCUACGAUAGGUAGGGGGCCUGAGAGGGUGGUCCCCCACACUGGUACUGAGACACGGACCAGACUCCUACGGGAGGCAGCAGUGAGGAAUAUUGGUCAAUGGGCGCAAGCCUGAACCAGCCAUGCCGCGUGCAGGAAGAAUGUCCUAUGGAUUGUAAACUGCUUUUAUUUGGGAAUAAACCCCCCGACGUGUCGGGGUCUGAAGGUAC
rnacentral:rRNA from 1 species